AUUGAACGCUAGCGGCAUGCUUAACACAUGCAAGUCGAACGGUAACAGGUUAAGUGGUAACACGAGAUGCUGACGAGUGGCGGACGGGUGAGUAACGCGUAGGGAUCUACCUUGUAGAGGGGAAUAACCUGGGGAAACUCAGGCUAAUACCGCGUAAGCCGGAGACGGGAAAGGUUGGGACCAGAGAUGGCCAAUCGAUACAAGAUGAACAUGCGUCAGAUUAGCUAGUUGGUAGGGUAAAGGCCUACCAAGGCGAAGAUAUGUAGCUGGUCUGAGAGGACGACCAGCCACACUGGGACUGAGACACGGCCCAGACUCUUACGGGAGGCAGCAGUGGGGAAUAUUGGACAAUGGGCGCAAGCCUGAUCCAGCAAUGCCGCGUGUGUGAAGAAGGCCUGCGGGUUGUAAAGCACUUUCGUUGGGGAGGAAUUGUAGAUUGUUAAUAGCGAUUUACAUUGACGUUACCCAAAUAAGAAGCACCGGCAAACUCUGUGCCAGCCGCCGCUGUAA
rnacentral:rRNA from 1 species